GUAACAUAAUAUAAUUUUAGAAGGGAGUGGGACUGGAAAAAAGUAGCCAAUUAAAUGCAUACUGCCAGACAAAACUGUAUAAUAAAAAAAAGCAUAAACUAAACUCAAGGUAGAGCCAGCAAUCCCUCAGUGCAAAAUAUAUCCAGACAUUCUAUAGGCCAGCCAUUCAGAGGUCAGCCAGGCCACCACCCUGUCGGCCAUCUUAAAAGACACUGACACUUACAGCCUGCACCUGCUAGAGUUAGGAGUGGCCCUGUCUUCCUCCAGCUUCUCAACUGAACUAACUAUGGAUCUAGUGGAUGGGGGCACUGGCCACUGUGACCAGGAGAAUUCAGAAGCAAAUGGGAGAAGCAAGGGAAAGCAAAG